rnacentral:rRNA from 1 species
CCUACGGGUGGCAGCAGUGAGGAAUAUUGGUCAAUGGACGCAAGUCUGAACCAGCCAAGUAGCGUGCAGGAUGACGGCCCUAUGGGUUGUAAACUGCUUUUAUACAGGAAUAAAACGAGGCACGUGUGCCUUGUUGCAUGUAUUUUAUGAAUAAGGAUCGGCUAACUCCGUGCCAGCAGCCGCGGUAAUACGGAGGAUUCAAGCGUUAUCCGGAUUUAUUGGGUUUAAAGGGUGCGUAGGUGGGUUGAUAAGUUAGAUGUGAAAGCCUGGGGCUCAACCCUAGAAUUGCAUUUGAUACUGGCGGGCUUGAGUAUAGUUGCGGUAGGCGGAAUGCAUGGUGUAGCGGUGAAAUGCUUAGAGAUCAUACAGAACCCCGAUUGCGAAGGCAGCUUACCAAACUGCGACUGACGUUGAGGCUCGAAAGUGUGGGUAGCAAACAGGAUUAGAUACCCGUGUAGUC